AAUUCCUCUAGAACAUCUGGUGUUUAGCAUGAGGGCUGGUGUCUCAGAGAGUUUUACUCAAUGGCUGCUCCACCUUCUCCUUUAGGUCUUUUCUUUGUGCUGUACAUCAGAGAAGGAUGUCACGUGGUACGCAGUCUAGAUGAAGGAUUUCAAAGUUACCUCCUUGCUAAAUUGAAAUCAACUCUCACUACCGCUCAAGAAAAGGUCUUGGCUGUCAAAGCAAUAUCAUUGCAAGCUAAGGACAUCAGAAUGGCAGCUGCCAACCUACACACUGUCUGUCAUCCUCAGGAAGCUGAUAGUCAUCCACAGACUCAUUGAAAAACAGGAUCCAGAAUAUCACCAGAUGGGGCAGUCUGUCAUGUGCAGGCUGUAGAGGACAGGAUGAAGGUUCUUUCUGUGAUUUGAGGGUGCCAAGUGCCACAUCUCUUCAAAAGGGAGGCCAAGGCCUGCCAAUCAUGAUAAUCGUUGUAAUGCAAAAAGGUCAGAUAGUCUUGUCUUUGUGUAUCAGAAAUGCCAACCUUCUGUCAAUGAUGGGGUCAAAAAUCUGUACUAGAUUCAAAGCACUUGUGCCAGGAGUUUCAUACUUCCAAAAGGUCAGUGUCAGUGCCAAUCAAGAUUCACGUACAGAAUGGAAGUUUAACUUCUGCCUAAACUUGAAUGAAAUAGCUUCUUUGCUUGUAUUUGUUCACUAAAUAACCCAUCCGUCUGUAACUUUAUCACCAAAUUGUUUAUAAAUACUCACAGCAUUCUAUGCAAAUGAGGUACUGAUGUGGUAACAUUUUAUCAGAACCAGUGAUUCCCAAACUUGAGGAUGCAACAGAUUCACGUGCAAAGCUUCUUAGAACACAGAUUACAGGGCUUCACUCCCUGUAUUUCUCAUCCAGUGGGUCUGCAAUGAGGUUCAAGAGUUUGUAUGUCAAAUAAAUUCCCAGGUGGUGCCAAUACUGCUGGUCUGGGGACCAUACAUUGGAACUACUACUCUAGAUGGUCAUACAGAAGGGAAAAAAAAAAACCAAACUAAAGUUAGAAGGUUGUGCUCCCCACAUAUAAAUAGUAGGAAUGUAUCACAAGUGUUGGCUUUUAUUUUUAUUUCAACUUUUCUUUUUCCUAAAGUUUUUGGCUGUUCUUGUUGGCUUUCUUUGAGUAAACAUUACCAUAUUUCUUUACAGCUAGACGUUUUCUAGCAUUAAGCUAAGAGGAUUUCUAGAUGGGAAAACACACACGCAUCUAAGCACAGGAAAGGAAAUGCUAUUUGCAUUGACAUAUUAAUGAGGGAAUUAUGAAAAUAGUGAUAAAAAUUUCUGGGCCAAAUAACAGCAAAAUGAUGUACUUGAUGGACUAUAUAAGUCAGGGGAUUUCAAAAUCUAGGGUUCCUUAUUUUAUUAACACCUAACAGGCCUCUCUGCUGACAAUUAUAGUUGCCUCCUUGACAUCUCCCGUGGGAUGAAUAAACAGGCAUCUCAAACUUAGAUACACAGUUGAAUACCUGGUCUUUUUCUUUGUCCUGCUCCAGCAUCAGCACAAUCUUACUCUACGGUAUCUCCAACUACUUUGUUUUCAUUCCUGGAAAAUAGCUGUCUUUCUUGAUAUUUUGGUGUCGCACAACUAAUCCAUCUAUUGAUUCUAUUGGUUCUGUCGGUCAAUUCAAUUUCUAAGGUAUAUCCAAAUAUCUAUCCAUUUCUCUUUGUCUCCUCCAGCGUCAGUACUGAACAUCAAUCAUCUUUCCCCAUGACCAUUACAUAAGCCAUCGAAACAUUCCAAGAAUCUUAAUUUUUGCUGUCAAUCUGUUUUCUUUUUAAAAAUUUCCUAUCCCUGUUCUUUUGUUAUUAACCAGAUAACAUAUGAAUUUAUUUUUACCUAUAAAUGCUUUAAGUGAGUGUAUAUUGUGAAAUGUGAAAGUUCUUCCUUUACUCUUUCUGACUGCCCUUUCUCCCCAAAGGUACUUCAGUUAAAAAUAUGGCGUGUGUCUUUUAUGUGAAGAUAAAUGUAUAUGUAUGAGGGCUUACAUAUUAUUUAACAUUUGUGUUAAAUUCAUCAAUCCUUUGUUUUGAUCUGGUUUAUCUGCC
rnacentral:lncRNA from 1 species